rnacentral:rRNA from 1 species
UAGGGAAUCUUCCGCAAUGGACGCAAGUCUGACGGAGCAACGCCGCGUGAGUGAAGAAGGAUUUCGGUUCGUAAAACUCUGUUUUUAGAGAAGAACCGCGCAUAGAGUAACUGUUAUGCGUGUGACGGUAUCUAACCAGAAAGCCACGGCUAACUACGUGCCAGCAGCCGCGGUAAUACGUAGGUGGCAAGCGUUGUCCGGAUUUAUUGUGCGUAAAGAGCUUGUAGGCGGUUCGUCGCGUCUGGUGUGAAAGCCCAUCGCUUAACGGUGGGUUUGCGCCGGGUACGGGCGGGCUAGAGUGCAGUAGGGGAGACUGGAAUUCCCGGUGUAACGGUGGAAUGUGUAGAUAUCGGGAAGAACACCAAUGGCGAAGGCAGGUCUCUGGGCUGUUACUGACGCUGAGAAGCGAAAGCGUGGGGAGCGAACAGG